rnacentral:rRNA from 1 species
AGGACGAACGCUGGCGGCGUGCUUAACACAUGCAAGUCGAGCGGUAAGGCCUUUCGGGGUACACGAGCGGCGAACGGGUGAGUAACACGUGGGUGAUCUGCCCUGCACUCUGGGAUAAGCCUGGGAAACUGGGUCUAAUACCGGAUAUGACCUGCUCUCGCAUGGGGGUGGGUGGAAAGAUUUAUCGGUGCAGGAUGGGCCCGCGGCCUAUCAGCUUGUUGGUGGGGUAAUGGCCUACCAAGGCGACGACGGGUAGCCGACCUGAGAGGGUGACCGGCCACACUGGGACUGAGACACGGCCCAGACUCCUACGGGAGGCAGCAGUGGGGAAUAUUGCACAAUGGGCGAAAAGCCUGAUGCAG